GGUGUACGAAGCCAUCUGGUGAUGGUGCAGGUCUGUGACUCCUGUUAGGCGGGUUCGAUCCCCGUCGUACACCCCCA
rnacentral:tRNA from 1 species